AUGCUGUCACAUACUCCAUACUAACCCAUCAACCUAAGAGAUAUUGAUUUGUGGUCUCAGGCACAUAAACAUUUGGCCGAGCUUGACCCUGGAGGGCUUAAGAAAGUCCUGAAAGUGACAAAUGGAUUCUUUUCUUCUUGAGCAUAAAGGCACCAGGAAAAAUAGAAAACUAUGAAGAGUAACACUGUUCCCUCUAAACUGCCAGGAGCUGCAGUGCUGGGGUCAGGCGAGCCCCUGUGUGGAAAGUGGGGGUAAAGCCAUGCUUGUGUGGUGGGUGUUUGGAGUGUGGAUAAACCUACUUACCUGUGAGACAACUGUGAAAACGCUUAGUAUGUAACAAGCACCUGGCGAGGGGCAGCUAUUAAUUCCAUUUACGGGAUGGUGCCCGCAUCAUUCCGUCUCCCCCCGCAUCCCACCCCCGGCGUUAACUUGGCUCCUCCCCCUGUGCUGCUCCCCCUUCCUUUCCAUACACAGGUGCUGGGUACCAUGCCGGGCCAGCAGAGGGAUGUAAAGGCAGGAGAGAUGUCUCUUCUCUCAAAGGGGCCUCAGUCACCCUGCCUGCCAUCUGGUACUUUGUAUAGUUAACUCUAGUUUGUCCAUGUACAUUUCAUCACACACACACACACACACACACACACACACAGAAGCACACACCCAUCCACACACCUGUGCCUCUCCUAUCUGAACUUAUGCCCCUUGGAGCCAUGUGGGAUUAUGCCUUACACUUAUUUUCUGAGAUUUAUCACCAGACCUUGCUCAGAACUGGUCACUAAAUGUCUGUUGAUCGAAUAAUUGGUUCUCACUGGCCCAAGCUGUCCAAUAGAAAUAAGCAAGCUAUGUAAUAAUUUUAAAUGUUCUAGUAGAAAAAAAUCUGUAAAAUUUUAAUAUGUGUGUAAGUAUGUAAACUUAAAUUUAAAUAGAUAAAUGCUCUAGAAGAAAAAAUGUACAAGUAAAAAAAGAAACAGGUAAAAUGGAUUAAAUAAACAUAUAAAAUUUACCAUUUUAGUCAUUUUUAAGUGUGUAACUCUUUGGCAUAAACUACAUUCACACAGUUGCACAACCAAGCCCACCAUAUAUCUGUAAAACUUUUUUCAUCUUCCCAGACUGAAACUCUGCACCUCGUUCAUCCUCCUCUUUUUAACUUUUAACCUCUGUUCUGUCUCUAUAAAUCUGGCUCCGCUAGGUGCUUCAUAUAAGUGGGAUUAUACAAUAUUUCUCCUUUUCUGACUGGCUUAUUUCAUUUAGCAGGAUGUCUUCAAGGCUCAUCCACGUUGUAGCAGGAGUCAAGAGUCUCCUCCCUUUUUAUAUCUGAAUACUAUUCUGUUGAAUGGAUGGAUUAUAUUUUGAAGAAUAUUCAAUCAUUCAUCUGUAGAUGUGAAAUUGAUUUUAAUAAUAUAUCUUAUUUAACCCCAUGUACUCCACAUGUGAUCAUUUCAACACGAAAUGUAAAUGUUAUUGAUAUGUUUUGCAUUCUUUGCACCAAGUCUUUGAGGUCCAGCAUGUACUGUAUACCUGGAGCCCAUCCCCUAUCGGGUGCAUGUAGCACAUGCAGCCAGUGGCUACCACAGAGAUGCUGUGAUUCUAGAGUCUCUUGACUGAGCACUUGCAUCCUGGAACUUACAAUGGCAUCUACAUUGGAGUGUGUGGGCUCCUGGUGAGCAGCACCUCAGCGUGGCUUUGAGAAUUCAGCUAAGAACUCCACCCACUUCGUGUUCCCCUGGAGUGCAGAGGCUGGAUGGGCAACACCCACAUUGCCUGGGUGUUGGGGCACCUGGGGUUCCAGAGGCCCUCUCACAGCAUGGCAGGCAGAAGUGACGUGGGCUGUCAUCUUCUUGGCCAUCAGGGAAGAGUUUGGUUUUGUGUGGCAGUCUUGGUGAAGGUCGUCUUGUCUGGCGUUGGCUCCUGGGGUCAUGGGUACAGGGCAGUGCAUCUUGUUGCUGUAGAUAAUGGCAAGUGCAGCAUGUCUGGGAGCUGGAGGCCUUAGUCAGGGCUUUCAGAUAGGAGGUCAUGCUCUGACUCUUACUGCAGAGGGGCCAGUAGCUCCCUUGCCAGGCUAGGUGAGGUAGCUUUUGCUUCUGGAAGCUAUCCCACCAACCCUGUCAUACAGCCAAGCCUCCUUGAGGUGGUUUGAGUGAACUCUGAUCUUUGCAACACAGAUACCACAGAUGCACUUGGAACCUGUUAUGGGCUGAAUGUUUGUGUCCCCCCAAUUCAUAUAUUGCAACCCUACCAGUACCGUAAUGAUAUUGGGACAUUGGACUUUUGGGAGGUAAUUAGAAUUAGCUGGGGUCACUCCCCAAUGGGAUUCUUGUCCUUACAAGAACCACGAGAGAACGUGCUUCUGCACCUGAUCUCCCUAAUCUCAGACUUCCAGCCUUCAGAGCUGUGAGAAAUAAAUAUCUUUUGUUUAUAAGCACCCAGUCUGUAGGGCUUUGUUACAGUAGCUCAAAUGGACUAGGACAGUACCUUCUACUAGAAUGAAGUUGCAUAUCUGCAAAGCAGAUACAUGCCUUCAUUAAAAUACUGACAAGACUGUGGUAUCUCACAUAAGCCUGCCUGCCUCGUAUGAUGAUCUGGGUUGCACUUACAAUGCAAAUAUGCCUGCUUUGCUGAGAAGGCCGGUGACACUAAAUAGAUGUUAAACCUAAGACUCACAUUUCUGUCUGACUUUCUAUGGACAGUUUCUCCAGUUACGCAAAGUACUGAAUAUUAGAUCAUGAUUGAAUUUUAUAAUAAUUUGAGGAAAGAGGAGAGCUUCGGGGAGAGUCUAUAACUCAUGUCAACUUGGAAAAUUGAUGAAAUAGAUGGAAAGAAAAUUGAUUAUGGCUUUAGAAGGACAUUAAUAUUGUGGAAGACGUUUAAAGGACAAUUUCCUCCAUGAAUUAUGAAGCCAUUUAGGAAACUGAUCCAUAAAUAUUUUAGGAAUACAUUUUUUUUUUCUUUUAGAAGAAAUGAUAAUCUGUGCCUCCCAUUCCCCGGCUGUCAGUCACACAACUGAAUUGUCUCGGUAUUUUAUUUAAAUGUGAUACACAUAUGUCAGACUUAAGUGUUUCAAGAUCAGGUUGCAGCGUCUCUCGAGAGAUAAGCACAUUCUAAACAGUCCCACUAAUGUAAUAUUUAUGCUAAUGCAAACCCUGUCAAGACAGCUGGAACAUCCCUUUGGACACCGUGUGGAUGAGCAUCAGCAAAGCUGUGCUUGACAAAGUUUUAGAGAUUUUUGUAAAGCAAGAAAAUCUGAUGAGACGUAGCUUGGACUGUAAAAAUGAGGUGCACUAUGCCAUGGACUAUCCCUCCAAACAUACAUAAACACACAUAUAUGAUUACGUGCACAGACACAUGCCCUUACAUACAUUGACACACACACACAUAAAUAUAAAUCUAUGCAGACGUACAAACACACACACGUAAACACACAUACAGUGAGAUGUGAACAUUUAUACAUGUACACUCAUGGUCACACACAAAACACGUAAGCACGUAUACACAGUAUGGCACAAACAUACACACGUACAUGCAAAUUCAUGAACAGGCACAAAUGCACAUAUAUAACCAUUUGUACAUGUAAAACAUUUGUACAUGGUGUAAGUUGAGGAGAGCAUGCUUAUAGUUUGUAUGCCUGUAGACAGCUGCAUUCUAAGACUUAAAAAUUGAAGUGGCUCCAUGGAGUAGGCUUUGCUACUGCAUCGUCUCCCUGUUACAGCCACGGGUUCUGGAGAGGCUCCACGGUGUGCCCUGGGUCACACCAAGAGGGGGAAAUGUGUGCUCUGAGCCCUGAGCCCACUUAGUGAGGUUGCUUUUGGGUUCCUGACUUUUCAAGUCUGGAGCUUUUCUUUUCUUUCUCUUUGUUUCUCUCUUCCUUCCUUCCUUCCUUUCUUUCUUUUUCCCAAAUGCUAUGGCAUAUGGAAGUUCCCAUGCUAGGGGUUGAAUUGGAGUUGCAGCUGCAGGCCUACACCACAGCCACAGCAAUGCCAGAUCUGAGCCACAUCUGUGACCUAGGUCACAGCAAUGCUGGAUCCUUAAGCCACUGAGCAAGGGCAGGGACUGAACCUGCAUCCUCAUGGACACUAAGUUUUUUUUUUGUUUGUUUUUUUGUUUUUUUCUCUUUUUAAGGCUGCACUCAGAGCAUACAGAAGUUCUCAAGAAAAAGUCAAAUCAGAGCUGAAGCUGCUGGAUUACAGCCACAGCAAUAUGGGAUCCAAGCUGAGUCUGUGACCUACAGCACAGCUCAUGGCAAUGGUGGAUACUUAACCCACUGAGCGAGGCCAGGGAUCGAACCUGUGUCCUCAUGAUAUUAGAUUCAUUUCCACUGAGCCAUGACAGGAACUCCGCUAUGUUGGGUUCUUAACCCACUGAGCCACAAUGGGAGAUCCAAGUCUGGGGCUUUCUGCUGAAAGCCAGGUAACAGGUAUCAGCUUUGCAAGCUACUUAGUGGCUCUAUCACUUACUUUUGAAACAUCUUCCCUUUUCAAAAAGCAUUGCCUGGAAUGUACCUGUUAGGCCAAAUUUUCCCUUGAAGAAAAUAUUGCCUCAGAAUUGGGACAGAUUGUCCAAUGGACUGCAGUGCAAAUCUAAAUCGAAGAGUUUCUGGGCACCAGGCCUGGCCCAUUCUCAGGUGUGAUGUGUAUUUGCAUCUUACUUCUUUGUUUAGGAUGAGGAUCUGCUUAGAAGAAAGCAUAUAUGUUCAGUGGUACCAGAAGGGAGUCCACAGAAUAGGGGAUGCGAAACAUAGCCACAGGGAGAAAAAACAUAUAAUGCCCAUCAGUAUGUUACUAAGCCCAAAUGGUAUCAUUUGAAGACCAAUUAUCUCACUAUAAAUUCUAAAGAAUGAAUUAUUGAUUUUUCUGUGACAAAAUUUUGAUAUCGAAUUAUCAUGGCUGACUGAGCUCACACAUCUCCAUUCAUUUCAGCAUCAGUUCC
rnacentral:lncRNA from 1 species